ensembl:lncRNA
CUUAUUUUAAAGCCUUAAAAAUACUUUAUGGUUCUGAAAAUGUUGAUCUUUCUAAUAUAAUCUCAUUUGGUGCAUAAAGCUUUCUUAGAGCCACAAGAUGUUAGGGCUUCAAGAUUAUCCAGUCCUAGUCUAAUUCACUUUUCAUCCCCAUUUUGAAGAGGAGAAAGCUGAGUCAUCCACAAAUAUAAUAAACAUGCCAUCUAUGCUGUUAUCAUCCAAGACAUUCAUAGAAAGUAUCCACAGGACUGGCCAUGGCAAAGCUAAGACUUUACCCCAUGCCUUUCGAUUUUAAGAGUAAUUUUUUCUCUUGGACCUCUGGACUAUGAAGGGAGCUCCUAGCUAAGCCAGAAAACUAUCCUCUGAUGUGUGGAGGCACAGCUAACCCAUCUCUCUGACCUCUUUUUCCUGUCCUCUUUAAUUUCUGAUAGUUUUCCUGAACUAUUGACCAAAAAGUCUUACUUUGCUCAUUCGUACCUUCUCCUCAUCAUCUGCCUAUUCUCCAACCUGUUAUUUACUCUAACUUUCAUCUUUGUUUCUCCUAUUAUUGUUUUUGCCCGUUGAGUCUUCAGAUCUUACCUGUUUAUUACCUUACCUCACUUUCUCACAUCCAAACUCCCUUACAACAAUUAAGUAUCAACUGGUCAGGAUGUUGGGAUCAAGUGAAACAGGUAUGAAAGAGAUAUUUUCCAUUUUUUUUUAUUUACUCAUCAACAGAGAACUUAGGAGUAGAGCAAAAUCAUAUUGCAGGUAUCAAGAUCUUUAUAAAUAAGGCAAAGUUCUGACUUAUUCAAGAGCUAACAUACUUUGUUUUAGGACAAGAAUCAGUGUGUCUGAAAACUUCAAGGUAAAAGCAGGCAAAACUUCAGUGGAUUUUCCCCAUUUUGUCAUUUUUUAACAAAAAUAGGCCAAUCAGGGUAAUGCCUCACAAUAGUACUUGUCUUUUAUUGAUUUUAUUUUUUCUCUACUUUUAGAAAAAGCUUUUCCAUUUAUUAUUUCUUUUUUAACCUCCACUAUGAGGUAGGUAAGAAAAAUGGUGUGCUUAUUUUCUCCAUUUUACAGAUGAGAAAAUUGAAGCAUAGAAAAGUUAACACUUGCCCAAAGUCAAAUAAUGAAGUUUUAAAAUAAUUUAAAUAAUUUUUUAUUGAUAACUUUUGUUUUUACGUCAUUUCAUUUUCUCCCAUCACCCAUCCUAGAUAGCCAUCUCUCAUAACAUAGAAUUUUUAUAUAAGGAAUUAGUGACAAAGUUAGACAUUUUAGAAGGAGGGAGAGAGAACAUAGUCUGAUUUUAGAUAUAUUUGAUAUUUUCUAGAUAGCUCCAGAUACCAUGAGUCCCAGAGCCCUUCAACACAAACCUACUAUAUAAUCAUGUUUACUCUAAUUCCAUCUUCUAUUAUUGCCUUUGCCCAUUGGAUUUUUCUCUUACUGACCUGUGACUCUUGGAAUUUUGUUAGGAAUAUCACACACAGGCACAGGCAGAGUAAUCCAGGGCAACUGUGACCAGGAGCUGAACUGGUGCAUUCCUGCCUCAUGAAGUCACUUAAUAUUCUCACCCUUGUUUCAUAGACCAACAAAGAAAGCACUACCCACAGAGGAAGAGAAGGAAUAGUAGGGAUAGUCAAGGGUCUUCUGUUACCAUCCAAAUAGCAGCAAAGAGGGGAAACAUUUGGGGCAAAGAUGGGAACUUAAGGCUGUCACUCUUUGCAAUGCUUAAUACUCUAGAUCUGAAACUUAACCCAAUGAAAGUCUUAAAAUUUUGUUAAAUCUAGAGAUUAGUGAAGCCCCAGAGGCUAUCUGGUCCAACUCCUUUGUUAUUCAGACUAGGAGAUGGAGAGCCAAGAAUUUUAAGUGACUUGCUUUAAAACAAUUUUUUUUAGGUAAUUUGUCUAUGGUUAUCCACCAGUCCACUGACUCAGCUGACUCAAGUUCGAAUCCUGCUUCUAAUUCUUAAACCUUAGAUGCCCAUAGACAAGAGCCUCCCUUUCCCCAUCUGCAAAAGGGACUUGGAUUAAAUGAUCUCUGGGUAUCUUUCUACCUCCAGAUCUAUAAUCCUAUGAAAAUCUAAGCAUUAAGAUACCUGCCACAUAUGUUCCAUGCUGCUAGCUCAAAAUCUUUGUCCUGUUUUCUGGAGUUUCAGAUGACUAAAAAUAACAACUUGAUUCUAAGUAUUUGAUGCCUAUAAAGCUCCUCAAAAAAAAAAAAAAAAAAAAGAUCAUCAUGGAGAUUUGUCUUCACUAAUAUUUCCAAAAUGAGAGGAAAAUGGAAGCUUUACCUUUCUUUCUAUUUGAUGAAAUGCCAGAGAACCUAGGGAAUUAAUGAAAUUCAGAAGAAAGGGGGGGGGGCGGAAAGGGGGGUUCUGCAUUAUAUCUCAUAGGAGCAUCUCCCCCCACCAGAAAUGAGGCUAGGAACACAUUGCUAAGUAUGUAGACCAAAGUCCAAGUUAAUCAUGGACUGUUGCAAAGACAAAGAAACAAUGGUCAAGAUAUUCCUUGGAUGUCAAAAGUAUGGGAUCCAGAACCGAGUCAGAGGGUGUGCGUUCAAAGCCUAGUUUCUCUUCUGUGAGACAAUGGAGAAAUCAUUAUCCUCCUCUGGGCUUCUUUCUUCCUCUUAAAUAUAACAGGGUUGCACUAGAUGAAAUCUAAAAUCUUUUCCAGUUACAAAUCCAGGUUCCAGUUCUGAUUUUCACCAUAAUUAUAUGACAUUGAGUAAUUCACUUUAAUAAACUUCCUGAACUAGUUUCCUCAUUGGUAAAAUGGGGAUAAUCCUGUUCUACCUACCUCAGAGAGGUUUUGUGAGGUUCAAAUGAGAUAAUAGAAAUAAAAGAGCUUUCAAAAGGUUUAAGGUUCUGAAUAUAUAGGUCAGAUUACAUCAUGGCCUUGCUCAAAAGCUUUCAGUAGCUCCCUAUUGUCUAAAGGAUAAAUAACAAAGUUCUCAAUCUGGCUUCUGAGUCUGUUACAGCUCAUUCUUCCAAACCAAUAUGGCUACUGUUUCCAAGAUCUCUUUCCUUCCCUCCCCUUACCUCCACACAUUUGUGCAAGUUGUUCCUCAAACCUCAAACACAUCUCUACCUCCACACAUCAGUCAAAUGAAACCCAAUCUCUAUAAAGUAUCUGCUUCCUUCAAGAAGUCUUUUCUAUUCCCUCACUCCACCUGAUUCAAAAUGAUUUAAAUUUCCUUAGAGAACCUUGUUUGGAUCUCUACAUUACAUUGUAUUUCCCCUUUGAGAUUAUCGCCCUAUAUAUUCUCUUCUAUAUAUCUUGUCUAUAUCUAAUAAUUUACGCGUCUUCUCCAUUAGAAUGUGAGCUCCUUGAGGGCAGGGAUUGUUUUUACAUUUCUUUGUAAACUUAGUGCUUAGCACAGUGCACC